GACGAACGCUGGCGGCGUGCCUAAUACAUGCAAGUAGAACGCUGAAGGAGGAGCUUGCUUCUCUGGAUGAGUUGCGAACGGGUGAGUAACGCGUAGGUAACCUGCCUGGUAGCGGGGGAUAACUAUUGGAAACGAUAGCUAUUACCGCAUAAGAGUAGAUGAUGCAUGACAUUUGCUUAAAAGAUGCAAUUUCAUAACUACCAGAUGGACCUGCGUUGUAUUAGCUAGUUGGUGGGGUAACGGCUCACCAAGGCGACGAUACAUAGCCGACCUGAGAGGGUGAUCGGCCACACUGGGACUGAGACACGGCCCAGACUCCUACGGGAGGCAGCAGUAGGGAAUCUUCGGCAAUGGACGGAAGUCUGACCGAGCAACGCCGCGUGAGUGAAGAAGGUUUUCGGAUCGUAAAGCUCUGUUGUAAGAGAAGAACGAGUGUGAGAGUGGAAAGUUCACACUGUGACGGUAACUUACCAGAAAGGGACGGCUAACUACGUG
rnacentral:rRNA from 1 species